rnacentral:rRNA from 1 species
AUCCUGGCUCAGGACGAACGCUGGCGGCGUGCUUAACACAUGCAAGUCGAACGGUGAAGCUCCAGCUUGCUGGAGUGGAUCAGUGGCGAACGGGUGAGUAACACGUGAGCAACCUGCCCCUGACUCUGGAAUAAGCGCUGGAAACGGCGUCUAAUACUGGAUACGAGAAGGGUCCGCAUGGGCACUUUCUGGAAAGUUUUUCGGUUGGGGAUGGGCUCGCGGCCUAUCAGCUUGUUGGUGAGGUAAUGGCUCACCAAGGCGACGACGGGUAGCCGGCCUGAGAGGGCGACCGGCCACACUGGGACUGAGACACGGCCCAGACUCCUACGGGAGGCAGCAGUGGGGAAUAUUGCACAAUGGGCGAAAGCCUGAUGCAGCGACGCCGCGUGAGGGAUGACGGCCUUCGGGUUGUAAACCUCUUUCAGCAGGGAAGAAGCGAAAGUGACGGUACCUGCAGAAGAAGCACCGGCUAACUACGUGCCAGCAGCCGCGGUAAUACGUAGGGUGCGAGCGUUGUCCGGAAUUAUUGGGCGUAAAGAGCUUGUAGGCGGUUUGUCGCGUCUGCUGUGAAAAUCCGGGGCUCAACCCCGGACUUGCAGUGGGUACGGGCAGACUAGAGUGUGGUAGGGGAGACUGGAAUUCCUGGUGUAGCGGUGAAAUGCGCAGAUAUCAGGAGGAACCCCGAUGGCGAAGGCAGGUCUCUGGGCCACUACUGACGCUGAGAAGCGAAAGCAUGGGGAGCGAACAGGAUUAGAUACCCUGGUAGUCCAUGCCGUAAA